rnacentral:rRNA from 1 species
CAGCAGCCACGGUAAUACGUAGGGUGCAAGCGUUAAUCGGAAUUACUGGGCGUAAAGCGUGCGCAGGCGGCUAUGCAAGACAGAUGUGAAAUCCCCGGGCUCAACCUGGGAACUGCAUUUGUGACUGCAUGGCUAGAGUACGGUAGAGGGGGAUGGAAUUCCGCGUGUAGCAGUGAAAUGCGUAGAUAUGCGGAGGAACACCGAUGGCGAAGGCAAUCCCCUGGACCUGUACUGACGCUCAUGCACGAAAGCGUGGGGAGCAAACAGGAUUAGAUACCCCCGUAGUCCCUGUCUCUUAUAC